rnacentral:rRNA from 1 species
GUGUCAGCAGCCGCGGUAAUACAGGGGGGGCAAGCGUUGUUCGGAAUUACUGGGCGUAAAGGGCUCGUAGGCGGCCGGCUAAGUCCGACGUGAAAUCCCCAGGCUUAACCUGGGAACUGCGUCGGAUACUGGCGGGCUUGAAUCCGGGAGAGGGAUGCGGAAUUCCAGGUGUAGCGGUGAAAUGCGUAGAUAUCUGGAGGAACACCGGUGGCGAAGGCGGCAUCCUGGACCGGUAUUGACGCUGAUGAGCGAAAGCUAGGGGAGCAAACGGGAUUAGAAACCCUGGUAGUCC